rnacentral:lncRNA from 1 species
GGAGCAUCUUCAUGUUUAAUAGUUAGAUGGAUGAAAUGGCGGGAUUGUAUGUUAGAUCGAGUAAUAUUUUUAUAUCCAAAAGUAUAAUAUUUGCUUGUAUCCGAUGUACAUGUCUUAUUAGGUUUACUAGUGAUAUGAUAUAUCACUAAAUGGAUAUAGCCACUAAUAUAUUAUGGCACUCAUCCAAAAAAGAGAUAUAAUGAUGUCCGUCAAAGUUAAAUAUCAAAAAAUUUAUUUACUUUGGAUAGAAUUUAUUUGAUCCUAUUAUUUGAUGAUAAUGUAUACAAAAGGAGAAGAGAUUGAGAUAGGAGAAGAUAGAGAGUGUGAGCUUUGCUUCACAUCAAGCUAGUGGAAGAGCUGAUAAAGGGAAUGAUGUGUCUAAAGCAAAA